rnacentral:rRNA from 1 species
CUUUGGGAUAACCCUCGGAAACGGGGGCUAAUACCGGAUAAGACCUUGCCUUGCAUGAGGCUUGGUGGAAAGUUUUUCGGCCUGGGAUGGGCUCGCGGCCUAUCAGCUUGUUGGUGGGGUGAUGGCCUACCAAGGCGACGACGGGUAGCCGGCCUGAGAGGGCGACCGGCCACACUGGGACUGAGACACGGCCCAGACUCCUACGGGAGGCAGCAGUGGGGAAUAUUGCACAAUGAGCGGAAGCCUGAUGCAGCGACGCCACGUGAGGGAUGACGGCCUUCGGGUUGUAAACCUCUUUCAGCAGGGACGAAGCGCAAGUGACGGUACCUGCAGAAGAAGCACCGGCCAACUACGUGCCAGCAGCCGCGGUAAGACGUAGGGUGCGAGCGUUGUCCGGAUUUAUUGGGCGUAAAGAGCUCGUAGGCGGCUUGUCGCGUCGACUGUGAAAACCCGCGGCUCAACCGCGGGCCUGCAGUCGAUACGGGCAGGCUAGAGUUCGGUAGGGGAGACUGGAAUUCCAGGUGUAGCGGUGAAAUGCGCAGAUAUCAGGAGGAACACCGGUGGCGAAGGCGGGUCUCUGGGCCGAUACUGACGCUGGGGAGCGAAAGCGUGGGGAGCGAACAGGAUUAGAUACCCUGGUAGUCCACGCUGUAAACGUUGGGCGC